rnacentral:rRNA from 1 species
AUUGAACGCUGGCGGCAGGCCUAACACAUGCAAGUCGAGCGGAACGGCGGACGGGCGAGUAAUGCCUAGGAAGCUGCCUGGUAGUGGGCUAUAACGUACGGAGACGGGCGAUAAGACAGCAUACUUUCAGAUGAGCUUAGGUCGGAUAGGCUAGUUGGUGGGGUAAAGGCCUACCAAGGCGACGAUCCGUCACCGGUCUGAGAGGAUGAUCAGUCACACUGGAACUGAGACACGGUCCAGACUCCUACGUGAGGCAGCAGUGGGGAAUCUUGGACAAUGGGCGAAAGCCUGAUCCAGCCAUGCCGCGUGUGUGAAGAAGGUCUUCGGGUUGUAAAGCACUUUAAGUCGGGAGGCGUUACCAACAGAAUAAGCACCGGCUAACUUCGUGCCAGCAGCAGCGGUAAUUC